AGAGUCAUUUUACAAUCUGCUGGGCCUGACUCCCAUGGUUUGGGGGACAUUUCUGUUCAUCAGCACUGGGUUUAAGAAUGCCUUAUGAAUGGAACCCUAAGGGUAUGGAACCUUUUGAGCCUCACUUCUUCCACUCAGCGUAAGGCCUCUGAUCCAGCCAGGUCAUUGUGUGUAAUUCACACUGAUUCAUCCUUCUUCUCUUUCUGAGUAAUAUUUCAUUGUUUGGACGUACGACAUUCUGUUUAUCCAUUCACCAGUUGAAGGACAUUUGGGUUCCUUCCAGUGUGGGGUGAUUUCGAAUAAAGCUGCUACAAACAUUUGUGUGCAGGUUUGUGUGUGAACAUUUGUCUUUAUUUCUCUUGGGUAAAUACCUCGGAGCGAGAUUGCCGGGUCCUAUGUCUGCCUGCUGGGUCUACAGUUCAGAGUCCUCACACAGCUGCUCCAUGCAUUCUUGUCGGACAUCCCAGCUGCAUUCGGUGGAGAAGAGGGUGGAGAGUGUUGACUCCACCUCAUCCUCCAUCCCAGGCCCUUCUGAUGGCUUCUUCACUGUUUUAGUUGGGACAGUUAUGGCU
rnacentral:lncRNA from 1 species